rnacentral:rRNA from 1 species
CCUAACACAUGCAAGUCGAACGAGCAAGAGAGAGCUUGCUUUCUCGAGCGAGUGGCGAACGGGUGAGUAACGCGUGAGGAACCUGCCUCAAAGAGGGGGACAACAGUUGGAAACGACUGCUAAUACCGCAUAAGCCCACGGGUCGGCAUCGACCAGAGGGAAAAGGAGCAAUCCGCUUUGAGAUGGCCUCGCGUCCGAUUAGCUAGUUGGUGAGGUAACGGCCCACCAAGGCGACGAUCGGUAGCCGGACUGAGAGGUUGAACGGCCACAUUGGGACUGAGACACGGCCCAGACUCCUACGGGAGGCAGCAGUGGGGAAUAUUGCACAAUGGGGGAAACCCUGAUGCAGCGACGCCGCGUGGAGGAAGAAGGUCUUCGGAUUGUAAACUCCUGUUGUUGGGGAAGAUAAUGACGGUACCCAACAAGGAAGUGACGGCUAACUACGUGCCAGCAGCCGCGGUAAAACGUAGGUCACAAGCGUUGUCCGGAAUUACUGGGUGUAAAGGGAGCGCAGGCGGGAAGACAAGUUGGAAGUGAAAUCUAUGGGCUCAACCCAUAAACUGCUUUCAAAACUGUUUUUCUUGAGUAGUGCAGAGGUAGGCGGAAUUCCCGGUGUAGCGGUGGAAUGCGUAGAUAUCGGGAGGAACACCAGUGGCGAAGGCGGCCUACUGGGCACCAACUGACGCUGAGGCU